rnacentral:rRNA from 1 species
AUUGAACGCUGGCGGCAUGCCUUACACAUGCAAGUCGAACGGUAACGGGCCUUCGGGUGCCGACGAGUGGCGAACGGGUGAGUAAUGUAUCGGAACGUACCUUUCAGUGGGGGAUAACGUAGCGAAAGUUACGCUAAUACCGCAUAUUCUGUGCGCAGGAAAGCAGGGGAUCGCAAGACCUUGCGCUGAUUGAGCGGCCGAUAUCAGAUUAGCUAGUUGGUGAGGUAAAGGCUCACCAAGGCGACGACCUGCAGCGGGUCUGAGAGGAUGAUCCGCCACACUGGAACUGAGACACGGUCCAGACUCCUACGGGAGGCAGCAGUGGGGAAUUUUGGACAAUGGGGGCAACCCUGAUCCAGCCAUGCCGCGUGAGUGAAGAAGGCCUUCGGGUUGUAAAGCUCUUUCAGCCGGGAAGAAAUCGUAUCAGCUAAUACCUGGUGCGGAUGACGGUACCGGCAUAAGAAGCACCGGCUAACUACGUGCCAGCCGCCGCAGUAAGAC